rnacentral:rRNA from 1 species
CUUAACUGAAGAGUUUGAUCAUGGCUCAGAUUGAACGCUGGCGGCAGGCCUAAGACAUGCAAGUCGAACGGUAACGACACUAGCUUGCUAGUGGGCGACGAGUGGCGGACGGGUGAGUAACGCGUAGGAAUCUACCUAGUAGUGGGGGAUAGCCAAGGGAAACUUUGGGUAAUACCGCAUGCGAUCUACGGAUGAAAGGGGGCCUCUCUUUGAAGCUCUCGCUAUUAGAUGAGCCUGCGUAAGAUUAGCUUGUUGGUGGGGUAAUGGCCCACCAAGGCGACGAUCUUUAACUGGUCUGAGAGGAUGAUCAGUCACACUGGAACUGAGACACGGUCCAGACUCCUACGGGAGGCAGCAGUCGGGAAUAUUGGACAAUGGGGGAAACCCUGAUCCAGCCAUGCCGCGUGUGUGAAGAAGGCUCUAGGGUUGUAAAGCACUUUUAGUAAGGAGGAAGGCUCAGUAGUUAAUACCUGCUGGGAUUGACGUUACUUACAGAAAAAGCACCGGCUAAUUUCGUGCCAGCAGCCGCGGUAAUACGAAAGGUGCAAGCGUUAAUCGGAAUUACUGGGCGUAAAGCGCGCGUAGGCGGCUUGGUAAGUUAGAUGUGAAAGCCCCGGGCUCAACCUGGGAACUGCAUCUAAAACUGCCAGGCUAGAGUAUGGUAGAGGAUGGCGGAAUUUCCUGUGUAGCGGUGAAAUGCGUAGAUAUAGGAAGGAACAUCAGUGGCGAAGGCGGCCAUCUGGACCAAUACUGACGCUGAGGUGCGAAAGCGUGGGGAGCAAACAGGAUUAGAUACCCUGGUAGUCCACGCCGUAAACGAUGAGAACUAGCCGUUGGACAUCUUGUAUGUUUAGUGGCGCAGCUAACGCGAUAAGUUCU